AAGCCUUCCCUGUGCGGCAGCCCCAUCGUGACUGAGCGACCCGUGCAACCGCUAAUAGACUGUACUAUCACCUCACUUCUUUUCUUUUGCGCCUUUGCCAAGCGCGUCUGUGUGUCUGUCUGUGUGUGCGUGUGUGGAGGAGGAGCAGGAGGAGGGGGAGGGCAAUGUCCUUUCGUGAGUUGCGCUCUUUUUCGGAGACAAUGCGUCUCCUCGGCUAUCCACAGCUGAUAAGCAUGGAGUCAUUCCGCGAGCCGAAUGUAGAGCUGGUCGCCGACUGUAUUCACUGGCUUAUCACCCGCUAUGAGCCAUCUGCGGAGGUGACGUUCAACAUUGAGCGGGAGCAUAACCGCGUGACGUUCUUCAAGCAGGUGUGUGAGGUCGCCCUCGCCAAGGGGAGAAUCAAGCUCAACGUGAAGAAGCUCUACCAGGCGGACGGGCACGCCGUGCAGGAGAUGCUGAAGCUCGCGAAUGUGCUGAAGAAGGCGAUGAAGGCGACGGACACCGAGGAGCCCGACUUCACCGCACUGCAGCAGAUGGCGGCGCAGAAGAACGUGAGCGACGCCAAGGCGGUGCAGCAACUGUGCAGCGAACUGACGGCGGACGGCAGCAGUCUCUUCUUCUUGGUCGAGGGAGAGCUGAACUCGCGCGGUGACCGCCAGCGCAUCUUGUCUCGCGCCACCGAGGUCGGCGAGUUCGAGCGUCGUCUGCGGGAGCUGCUCACCAACGUCACCCAGGAGGUGGACCAGUAUCAGCAAAGCAUCGUCAACCUCAGCGCGGACGAGAGCAACUUGGAGCAAAAGAUCGAGAACAAGAAGGCACACCUAGAGCGCGCCCAAAAGCAGUACAAAAGCGCAAUGGCCACUAACCCCGCCUUCCUCAAAGAGUACGAGAACCACGAGAAGAAGCUGCAUGCACAAUUCGUCGACUAUCUCGAGCAGUACCGCAACUUGGAGUUUCUGGAGCACCAGAUCGCCAAGUACAACGCCAAAGAGGAUGCCAUGCUCGAGGAGCAGGAGACAAAGCUGAAGGUGAUGCGGGAGCGGCUGCGCAAGGAGGAGCUGAAGAACAUCCGGGCGGACAGCAUGGCGCGCCGUCCGAGUGGACGUCGCGGCGGCGGUGGCGGGAGCCUGACGCCGGCGAUGAGCGAUGACGAAGACGAUGGGUACGAAAACGCCCCGCGCGUGAAUGGCGGGGUGCGCAUCCGCAACGCCGCCGAAGAGGAUAGCAGCGGCGACGAGUCCACCUCGGGUGAUGAAGGGAGCGACACCGACGACAGCAGGCCGCGUCAGCAGCGCGGUCAAAAGCAACAGCAGCGGCGGCGACCGCAGAACGCCAUUGGCCACAGCCGCGGUCCACUCGUUCGAGACGGCGCCGUGAACAGCGAUGAGGACAACCACGAUGAGGAGGACGAAUCGCUUGUGAACCAGAUGCGUCGGCCGCGAGUGGCGACAGGCGCGCGGCCGCCUGCCGCGGGAGGCGAGCGUUCGCGGCUUCUCGCCAACAAUCCUGCCGAAAGCGACUCUUCCUCCGAACCAGACAGCAGUGAGUUGUCCACCUCGACGAGUAGCGGCGAGUUUAGCAGUGACGACUCCAGCGACUACAGCGGAUCUGAUGACAGUGACAUUUAGGUGUAUACUGCAGCUGCGGCGCUUUUGCGAUCACCUGUGCACUCGUAGGAACGCGCCAGAGCGGACGCUCACUGUGGGCAGUCACACCUCGCUAAUCAGGGCUGCUUGUGUGUGUGUUUGCAUGUGCUAGAUGGAUGAGCUCUGCACAGCUUCCAGCGCUGUGCGUGUUGGAGGAUGCGAGUACAGCAUGUGCUUGUAUGUGUAGGCCUGUCGCUGUGUGUGCGUGCUGCGCGCCCUGCUUGAUGGAUGGUGUGCGCUGCGUCUUCUCCUUUACUUGCUGAUGCUGCGUAUUUUCAAGCUACGGGCCCUUGUAUUCCUCGCUCUGAUGCGCAUAUCAUCUCUCUCUCUCUGCAGCUGCCUCUUUGCGCCGACGCGGGCAGGUGACAGGAGAGAGACGGUAGCGAUAAGCUCACGAGGUGAUGGAAGAUCAAGGCACGCUGCCACCACGCCCCGCUUUUCCCUCUUGCUCCAUGCGUGAUCAAGCAACAGCACAAGCAUGGCGCAUGCAGUGUUGACUGAUGUUCUAUAGACGGAGAUCAUUGUGCUCUUCCUCCCCGUUCUUUUUUUUUAGGUUUUCAGGUUCGGGUCCUCUCCAGCUCUCUCGUAUGAUGGCACACGCAUACGCAAACACACACAGACAUACACACACACAUGCUGUGGACACGGCCCCUCCUUCUCUUCUUUGGGCCCCAUUCCACUUCCCUCCCCUUCUCCCAAACCCCCUCUCACGCACGAAUGCACUCGAGUGCUCCUGCCAGUCUGCUUCGGUGUUUGAAUGUGUGCGUGUGUGUGCGUAUGUGUGUGCAUAUGUGUGAUAUUUCCGCCCUUCCUCCUUUCCUGAGCAUUGAAAGUGAAGAAACGAGAGCAAAGGUGGCUUUGGGGGGAGGGCGACACGCUCCAACGCGCAUGUCCACCUGCCCUCUCUCCUGUCCUCUUACUUCUCCCUCUCCACCCAUGCGACACAGAGAAGAAAAAGCACAGGAAACCGUAGAUGCUGCUUUUUGUUCACUUGAUCUCCUAGGGGAAGAUGUAGUGUCAGCACCGAUCCUCCUCCCCACCCCCAUUCCCUGAUGGUGGUGGUGUACGCCAAAUGCGGGCACGUUGAUUGAAGGUGCGUGUGUGUA
rnacentral:misc_RNA from 1 species